rnacentral:lncRNA from 1 species
UUGGGGUAGAGGUGGAUUCCAGAGCACCGCAGAAUAAUUCAGCACGUAUCUUUUGAGCUUACGGGUCUAAGGGAAUGAUGGGUAGAUCCCAAUGUCAGAUGAGGUUGUAGUUGAAUACGAGAGACAAUAGAGCUACUCUAGAUAUUUAUGGUGGCCAGGAAGCCCCCUCUGGGAUGGAGUCAUUUUUUUGUGAGAAUAGGGUAAAGGGGCAAUCGGUCUCUAUAAAUAAAACUGUCAUAGAUCUGUGAGUCUAGCUAAAGGUUUAUCCAGAGACACUCAAUUGCAGAGUUGAGGCUGUAUUCAAAUGCUACAGCGCAGGAGAGGCCAAACGAAACUAUUGGGAAGAUGGUUCCCGAGACUUGCACAAUAUAGGUGGUGUCCUUCCCCAUUUUC